rnacentral:rRNA from 1 species
UACGGAGGGGGCGAGCGUUAUUCGGAAUUAUUGGGCGUAAAGGGCGCGUAGGCGGCCUUGUAAGUCAAAGGUGAAAUCCCUCGGCUCAACUGAGGAACUGCCUUUGAAACUGCAAGGCUUGAGGCCGGGAGGGGGUAGCGGAAUUCCCAAUGUAGCGGUGAAAUGCGUAGAUAUUGGGAGGAACACCAGUGGCGAAGGCGGCUACCUGGACCGGUUCUGAUGCUGAGGCGCGAAAGCGUGGGUAGCGAACAGG